rnacentral:rRNA from 1 species
AUAUCAAUAAGCGGAGGAAAAGAAACCAACAGGGAUUGCCUUAGUAACGGCGAGUGAAGCGGCAACAGCUCAGAUUUGAAAUCUGGCCUUCGGGCCCGAGUUGUAAUCUGUAGAGGAUGCUUCGGGUGAGGUGCCUUCCAAGUGCCCUGGAACGGGACGCCAGAGAGGGUGAGAGCCCCGUACAGUCGGACACCAAGCCCAUGUGAAGCUCCUUCGACGAGUCGAGUAGUUUGGGAAUGCUGCUCAAAAUGGGAGGUAAAUUUCUUCUAAAGCUAAAUACCGGCCAGAGACCGAUAGCGCACAAGUA